rnacentral:rRNA from 1 species
UACGAAGGGGGCUAGCGUUGCUCGGAAUCACUGGGCGUAAAGCGCACGUAGGCGGCUUUCUAAGUCAGGGGUGAAAUCCUGGAGCUCAACUCCAGAACUGCCUUUGAUACUGGAGAGCUUGAGUCCGGGAGAGGUGAGUGGAACUCCGAGUGUAGAGGUGAAAUUCGUAGAUAUUCGGAAGAACACCAGUGGCGAAGGCGGCUCACUGGCCCGGUACUGACGCUGAGGUGCGAAAGCCAGGGGAGCAAAGCGGG